AUACUUACCUGACGCGAGAGGCACCUUGAUCAACUAGGAGGUCCUCUCAGGAUGAGGCCCUUUCAUUGCACUUCGACUGGGUUGACUCCUGCGAUUACCCCUAAUGUGGGUAACUCGAGCGUGUAAUUUCUGGUAGUGGGGACCUGCGUUCGCGCUCGUCCCCU